AUUUGACAUAUAGAGAUCCUUUCAUGUUGGUGAUCAAGGUGAGGGACCUUUUGCUUUUCUCUUCUCUACUUUGGCUUUCAUGAAUGGUUUUGAUAUUGCAAACCUGAAAUGUCUGAGUUUUAGUUUUGAGUCUGGUUGGAGUUUAGUUUUCUUGUAGACUAAAGUGGCCUAGCUUUGUUUGGUGUUGAGGUUUCUAAACUGGUAUAUAUCUAUGUCUAUGUAUGAACCUUGUAUAGAAUUCAGGCAUUUCCUUUAUCUGUGGAACUCUUAAUUGAAAGACUUUAUUUUUGAUAUAUGGUUUGCUUAAUUUGGAUCUCUAAGGUUUUAGAAAAUGAGAGCAAGAAUGUAAUGAUUCUUCUCUGGCUGGUGUAUAAAUCUAGGUACCAAUAUAUUUUUACAUGUUCAAGGGCUAAUUGGAAUUAGUUUAAACCCCAUUUGUUAAUUUCAGAACAUCAAAGUCAGAAUAGAGUAUUUUUGGUGUACAAAGUGGUGAUCAUUCCGGCAACCACAAGCUUUUGAGUGCAGACAAAGUCAUGUGAAUCUUUCUUCCAUGUGGAAACGGUUUCAGUUAUUCCUUGAGCAGUUGCAUAGUGUUCUUCAAGAAAAUGAAGAAUCCAUUAGAGUCAUGAUGAGCUCAUACUUAGGAGCCGUGAUCAAUCAGUAUCCGACUAUGGAAAGUGUACACAAAUAUAAAGGAAGAGGACAUGGCAGAUUGAAGUAAUGCUCGGGAAGAGACGGAUAGUGAGCUCGAGAUCCCUGUCUAUUUUGUACCUUUAUGCAGUCUGCAAAUCUAGAGGAGUUCGAAGAAGAAUUUAAGGGUAUUAACCAAGAAGAGCAGAUCUGCAGACUUCACAAAAUGCUCGCUCCUUACCUUCUUUCAAGUAUAAAUGCAAAACAAUAUUGAGCAUAUGUAAAUGUGCACUGUUUCAGAGUAUGUAAAUGUUCAAUGUUUCUUAAGACUGAAUGUGUGAAAUUUAGCAAGCAAACAAACCCGCAGCAUUGCGCGGGCUAUCUCGCUAGUAAUAGCUAUUUAUUAUGAGAAAAUUACUGUUUAUUU